rnacentral:sRNA from 1 species
UUAAUAGAGUUGCCACUGCAUAUAUAUGCUACUUAUUUGGUCGCACGCAAGUAGGUACUCACUUAAUUAAGUAUCAGUUUAUGGUAAUUAGCUUCUACUAAUAUAUAUAUGUACCUCCCCGAGUAACCGUAGUCUAAGCUAUGAGGCAGUACAAAGUGUGUGGUUUUUGUACCGGGAAGCUAGAGGUCAUCGUGCCGAUAGGCAAACUGCGCUGCAAGCUAUAUAUAUGCACAUAAUACAGAAGCAGUUAGUCAAGUCGCUAGCAGGUAGCAGCCUAGCAGGGCGCAUGUACUGUGGUUGUUGAUCUCCGUUGCAAUAAAUUAAACUGAUAUCU